UACGUAGGGGGCAAGCGUUAUCCGGAUUUACUGGGUGUAAAGGGAGCGUAGGCGGUUCAGCAAGUCAGAAGUGAAAGCCCGGGGCUCAACUCCGGGACUGCUUUUGAAACUGUUGAACUAGAUUGCAGGAGAGGUAAGUGGAAUUCCUAGUGUAGCGGUGAAAUGCGUAGAGAUCGGGAGGAACACCAGUGGCGAAGGCGGCCUACUGGGCUUUAACUGACGCUGAGGCACGAAAGCGUGGGUAGCAAACAGG
rnacentral:rRNA from 1 species